GACGAACGCUGGCGGCGUGCCUAAUACAUGCAAGUCGAACGCAGUGGGGACGGGUGAGUAACACGUGGGUAACCUCCCAUCAGAGGGGGUAACACUUGGAAACAGGUGCUAAACCGAUACUGACGGAUGGCCCCGCGGUGCAUUGGCUGGUUGGUGAGGUAACGGCUGACCAGGGCCCCGAUGCAGAGCCGGCCUGAGAGGUGGAGCGGCCAACCGGCGACUGGGACACGGCCCAGACUCCUACGGGAGGCAGCGGGAGGGAAUCUUCGGCUAUGGCCGAAAGUCUGACCGAGCAAUGCCGCGUGAGUGAAGAAGGUUUUCGGACCGUAAAGUUCUGUUGUUAUAGAAUCGGUAUCUAGACAGAAAGCCACGGCUAACUACGUGCCAGCAGCCGCGGUAAUUC
rnacentral:rRNA from 1 species